UACGAAGGGGGCUAGCGUUGUUCGGAAUUACUGGGCGUAAAGCGCGCGUAGGCGGGCGGCUAAGUCAGGGGUGAAAUCCCGAGGCUCAACCUCGGAACUGCCUUUGAUACUGGCUGUCUGGAGUUCGAGAGAGGUAAGUGGAAUUCCGAGUGUAGAGGUGAAAUUCGUAGAUAUUCGGAGGAACACCAGAGGCGAAGGCGGCUUACUGGCUCGAUACUGACGCUGAGGCGCGAAAGCGUGGGGAGCAAACAGG
rnacentral:rRNA from 1 species